rnacentral:rRNA from 1 species
UGGGGAAUAUUGCACAAUGGAGGGAACUCUGAUGCAGCAACGCCGCGUGCGGGAUGACGGCCUUCGGGUUGUAAACCGCUUUCAGCCAUGACGAAGCUUUUGUGACGGUAGUGGUAGAAGAAGCACCGGCUAACUACGUGCCAGCAGCCGCGGUGAUACGUAGGGUGCGAGCGUUGUCCGGAAUUAUUGGGCGUAAAGAGCUUGUAGGCGGUUUGUCGCGUCGAAAGUGUAAACUCAGUGCUUAACGCUGAGCCUGCUUUCGAUACGGGCGGACUAGAGGAGGGUAGGGGAGAAUGGAAUUCCCGGUGGAGCGGUGGAAUGCGCAGAUAUCGGGAGGAACACCAGUGGCGAAGGCGGUUCUCUGGACCUUUCCUGACGCUGAGAAGCGAAAGCGUGGGUAGCAAACAGG